rnacentral:rRNA from 1 species
GACGAACGCUGGCGGCGUGCUUAACACAUGCAAGUCGAACGGAAAGGCCCUGCUUGCAGGGUACUCGAGUGGCGAACGGGUGAGUAACACGUGGGUGAUCUGCCCUGCACUUCGGGAUAAGCCUGGGAAACUGGGUCUAAUACCGGAUAGGAGCCAUUUUUAGUGUGAUGGUUGGAAAGUUUUUUCGGUGUAGGAUGAGCUCGCGGCCUAUCAGCUUGUUGGUGGGGUAAUGGUCUACCAAGGCGGCGACGGGUAGCCGGCCUGAGAGGGUGGACGGCCACAUUGGGACUGAGAUACGGCCCAGACUCCUACGGGAGGCAGCAGUGGGGAAUAUUGCACAAUGGGCGCAAGCCUGAUGCAGCGACGCCGCGUGGGGGAUGACGGCCUUCGGGUUGUAAACUCCUUUCGCUAGGGACGAAGCUUUUUGUGACGGUACCUAGAGAAGAAGCACCGGCUAACUACGUG